CAAAGGUUUGGUCCUGGCCCUUUUAUUGGCUUAUAGUAAAAUUACACAUGCAAGUAUCUCCUUCCCAGUGAGAAUGCCCUCUAUCUCAAAUCACUUGAUCAAAAGGAGCAGGCAUAAAGUUCACUUCCUUCAGUAGCUCACAACGCCUUGCUAAACCACACCCCCACGGGAUACAGCAGUGAUUAAAAUUAAGCUUAUAAACGAAAGUUUGACUAAGUUAUACUAUAAAUUGGGUUGGUAAAUUUCGUGCCAGCCACCGCGGUCAUACGAUUAACCCUAGUCAAUAAAACACGGCGUAAAGCGUGGUUAAAAGAAAAUAAUUAAUAAGACUAAGCUUAAACUAAGCUGUAAAAAGCCUUAGCUACAAUAAAAAUAUUACACGAAAGUAGUCUUAGAAUAUAUGAACCCACGAUAGCUAAGACCCAAACUGGGAUUAGAUACCCCACUAUGCUUAGCCCUAAACAUAAAUACUUUACUCACAAGACGUAUUCGUCCAGAGUACUACUAGCUACUGCUAAAAAGCUCAGAGGGAGUCGGCGUGCUUUACAUCCUUUAGACGAGCCUUGUAUUAUAAUCGAUAAACCCCGAUAAACCUCACCAUCCUUUGCCUUUUCAGCCUAUAUACCGCCAUCUUCAGCAAACCCUAAUAAGGCCUUAUAGUAAGCAUAAGUAUAUUACAUAAAAACGUUAGGUCAAGGUGUAGCCUAUAGGGUGGAAAGAAAUGGGCUACAUUUUCUAACAUAUAUAGAACAACAUACUACGACAGCCUAUAUGAAAAUAUAUAAGCCCAAGGUGGAUUUAGUAGUAAGCUGAGAAUAGAGAGCUUAGCUGAAUUGGGCAAUAAAGCACGCACACACCGCCCGUCACCCUCUUCAAGCUUCCAUUCCUAUUUUAAACUAACUAAUUACCAAAACUUCAAAAGCAAGAAGAGAUAAGUCGUAACAAGGUAAACAUACUGGAAAG
rnacentral:ncRNA from 1 species